rnacentral:lncRNA from 1 species
GGCGCAGGAGACCGCAGCGUCCGGCACCGUGGCACCGGCGGGAGGGGACCGCUGCCGCGGCUAUUACGACGUGAUGGGCCAGUGGGACCCGCCCUUCAACUGCAGCUCCGGUGUCUACAGCUUCUGCUGCGGCACGUGCGGCUACCGCUUCUGUUGCCACGACGGCCCGCGCCGCCUGGACCAGAGCCGCUGCUCCAACUACGACACACCGGCCUGGGUGCAGACUGGCCGCCCGCCCGCCCGCGCCCGUGACACCGCCGCUCCGCGCGACCCGGCCCGCGAGCGCAGCCACACUGCGGUCUACGCGGUGUGCGGUGUCGCCGCACUGCUCGUGCUGGUCGGCAUCGGGGCACGCCUGGGUCUGGAGAGAGCGCACAGCCCCCGCGCUCGCCGCACGGUGACCAGGACACUGACAGAACUUCUCAAGCAGCCAAGCCCCCAAGAACCACUGCCUCCACCUCUGGGUCCAUCCUUGGGUAACUGCGUCCAGGUACAAAUGGGUGACGGUGUUCUCCGGGGUUCUCCCCACAACAGCACAGACAAGAAACGUCUCAAUAAUGCGCCUCUGGGGUCCGCCACCCCAGGACCCCCGCGCGGUCCGCGGCCG